rnacentral:rRNA from 2 species
GAGAAUCCCAUCCACCGAUUGACUAAGGUUUCCAGAGGAAGGCUCGUCCGCUCUGGGUUAGUCGGGUCCUAAGCCGAGGCCGACAGGCGUAGGCGAUGGAUAACAGGUUGAUAUUCCUGUACCGCCAAGGAUCGUUUUAAGCGAUGGGGGGACACAGUAGGAUAGGCGAAGCGUGCUGUUGGAGUGCACGUCCAAGCAGUGAGACUGAAUAGUAGGCAAAUCCGCUAUUCACAAGGUCAAGCUGUGAUGGGGAGAGGAAACAUGUUUUCCUCGAGUCGUUGAUUUCACACUGUCGAGAAAAGCCUCUAGCUAGUGAUUUGGCGCCCGUACCGCAAACCGACACAGGUAGUCAAGAUGAGAAUUCUAAGGUGAGCGAGAGAACUCUCGUUAAGGAACUCGGCAAAAUGACCCCGUAACUUCGGGAGAAGGGGUGCUCUUUAGGGUUCACGCUCUGAAGAGCCGCAGUGAAUAGGCCCAAGCGACUGUUUAUCAAAAACACAGGUCUCUGCUAAACCGUAAGGUGAUGUAUAGGGGCUGACGCCUGCCCGGUGCUGGAAGGUUAAGAGGAGUGGUUAGCUUCUGCGAAGCUACGAAUCGAAGCCCCAGUAAACGGCGGCCGUAACUAUAACGGUCCUAAGGUAGCGAAAUUCCUUGUCGGGUAAGUUCCGACCCGCACGAAAGGCGUAACGAUUUGGGCACUGUCUCAACGAGAGACUCGGUGAAAUCAUAGUACCUGUGAAGAUGCAGGUUACCCGCGACAGGACGGAAAGACCCCGUGGAGCUUUACUGUAGCCUGAUAUUGAAAUUCGGCACAGCUUGUACAGGAUAGGUAGGAGCCUUAGAAACGUGAGCGCCAGCUUACGUGGAGGCGUUGGUGGGAUACUACCCUAGCUGUGUUGGAUUUCUAACCCGCGCCAUUUAUCAUGGCGGGAGACAGUGUCAGGCGGGCAGUUUGACUGGGGCGGUCGCCUCCUAAAGUGUAACGGAGGCGCUCAAAGGUUCCCUCAGAAUGGUUGGAAAUCAUUCAUAGAGUGUAAAGGCAUAAGGGAGCUUGACUGCGAGACUUACAAGUCGAGCAGGGUCGAAAGACGGACUUAGUGAUCCGGUGGUUCCGCAUGGAAGGGCCAUCGCUCAACGGAUAAAAGCUACCCCGGGGAUAACAGGCUUAUCUCCCCCAAGAGUUCACAUCGACGGGGAGGUUUGGCACCUCGAUGUCGGCUCAUCGCAUCCUGGGGCUGUAGUCGGUCCCAAGGGUUGGGCUGUUCGCCCAUUAAAGCGGUACGCGAGCUGGGUUCAGAACGUCGUGAGACAGUUCGGUCCCUAUCCGUCGUGGGCGCAGGAAGUUUGAGAGGAGCUGUCCUUAGUACGAGAGGACCGGGAUGGACAUACCUCUGGUGUACCAGUUGUCGUGCCAACGGCAUAGCUGGGUAGCUAUGUAUGGACGGGAUAAGUGCUGAAAGCAUCUAAGCAUGAAGCCCCCCUCAAGAUGAGACUUCCCAACUUCGGUUAUAAGAUCCCUCAAAGAUGAUGAGGUUAAUAGGUUCGGGGUGGAAGCAUAGCGAUAUGUGGAGCUGACGAAUACUAAUCGAUCG